CGCUUAAAGCAAAAUGUCGAGUACUCCACGGUUGCCGAUCCCCAGCAACAGAAAUCUGUUCCUAGGGAGAAUUAGAUCAAUGGUUAAAUAUGCUGUUAGCAAUAGAGGAAACUUUAUGAUGCGUCACAGCACAGGAGCUUUAGCAACAUAUGGAGGAACGGCAUUGGCUAUGGCAAUAUUUCUGUUUGAUUUCACACCUAUCCUGGGUCGUAUUCCCUACAUCAAAAAUUCUUAUCCACUACCUGAACCUGUAAAGGACAAGAAAUGAUGUGGUAUUGUACUCUAUUUAGAUGAAGAAUUGUGUAACUGUGGAAUUCAGUCUAGAGGAGGAUAUGUGUUACUUCAGGGAUUUUUGGUUGAGAACAUCAGAGACAAGUCCUUGGAAGUUUCUCAACUCUGGAACUGUUUUGUGAAUUGUUUUUCAGUUAAAAUUAAACUAGAAUAAAAUUCA